rnacentral:rRNA from 1 species
AUUGAACGCUGGCGGCAUGCUUUACACAUGCAAGUCGAACGGUAACAGGCCUUCGGGUGCUGACGAGUGGCGAACGGGUGAGUAAUGCAUCGGAACGUGCCCAAUCGUGGGGGAUAACGUAGCGAAAGUUACGCUAAUACCGCAUAAGCCCUGAGGGGGAAAGCAGGGGAUCGCAAGACCUUGCGCGAAUGGAGCGGCCGAUGUCAGAUUAGCUAGUUGGUGGGGUAAAGGCCUACCAAGGCGACGAUCUGUAGCGGGUCUGAGAGGAUGAUCCGCCACACUGGGACUGAGACACGGCCCAGACUCCUACGGGAGGCAGCAGUGGGGAAUUUUUGGACAAUAGGGCGGCAAGACCU